AUUGAACGCUGGCGGCAUGCUUUACACAUGCAAGUCGAACGGCAGCACAGGGAGCUUGCUCCUGGGUGGCGAGUGGCGAACGGGUGAGUAAUGUAUCGGAACGUGCCUGGUAGUGGGGGAUAACUACUCGAAAGAGUGGCUAAUACCGCAUGAGAUCUUUGGAUGAAAGCGGGGGACCUUCGGGCCUCGUGCUACUGGAGCGGCCGAUAUCAGAUUAGGUUGUUGGUGGGGUAAAGGCCUACCAAGCCUGCGAUCUGUAGCUGGUCUGAGAGGACGACCAGCCACACUGGGACUGAGACACGGCCCAGACUCCUACGGGAGGCAGCAGUGGGGAAUUUUGGACAAUGGGCGCAAGCCUGAUCCAGCAAUGCCGCGUGCAGGACGAAGGCCUUCGGGUUGUAAACUGCUUUUGUACAGAACGAAAAGUCUCUGGCUAUAUCUAGAGAUCAUGACGGUACUGUAAGAAUAAGCACCGGCUAACUACGUG
rnacentral:rRNA from 1 species